GGAUUCCGCGCCGACAAUGUAACGGGGCUCAAGCACGCCACCGAAGUUGUGGCAUUGACAUUAUUGGUAGGCCUUCGUGGUCCAGCCGUGUCGAUGGGUAGGAGAGCGUUGUGUGGCCAGCGAAGCGGCGGUGUGAACCAGCCGUGGAGGCCACACGAGUGAGAAUGCAGGCAUGAGUAGCGAAAGACGUGUGAGAAACACGUCCUCCGAAAGACCAAGGGUUCCAGGGUCAAGCUAAUCUUCCCUGGGUAAGUCGGGACCUAAGGCGAGGCCGACAGGCGUAGUCGAUGGACAACGGGUUGAUAUUCCCGUACCGGCGAAGAACCGCCCCAAUCAAUCCAGUGGUGCUAAGUGCCCGAAUUCCUCUGUAUCGAUCCCUUCGGGGUGAGAACGUUGGAGCUAGCGCACGACCCCAUGCUGGUGCGGUUAGCGCAUUAACAGGUGUGACGCAGGAAGGUAGCCCAACCCGGGCGAUGGUUGUCCCGGGGCAAGUGCGUAGGCCGAGAGAUAGGCAAAUCCGUCUCUCAUACGGCUGAGACACGAUGCGGAUGAAAAGUGGGUGAUCCUAUGCUGCCGAGAAAAGCAUCGACGCGAGGUUCUAGCCGCCCGUACCCCAAACCGACUCAGGUGGUCAGGUAGAGAAUACCAAGGAGAUCGAGAGAAUCGUGGUUAAGGAACUCGGCAAAAUGCCCCCGUAACUUCGGGAGAAGGGGGGCCUUCGACGUAUUAGGACUUGCUCCGAAAGCGUUUGGAGGCCGCAGAGACUAGUGGGUAGCGACUGUUUAUUAAAAACACAGGUCCGUGCCAAGUCGCAAGACGAUGUAUACGGACUGACGCCUGCCCGGUGCUGGAAGGUUAAGAGGACGGGUUAGCGCAAGCGAAGCUCAGAAUUUAAGCCCCAGUAAACGGCGGUGGUAACUAUAACCAUCCUAAGGUAGCGAAAUUCCUUGUCGGGUAAGUUCCGACCUGCACGAAUGGCGUAACGACUUCCCAACUGUCUCAACCGCGAACUCGGCGAAAUUGCACUACGAGUAAAGAUGCUCGUUACGCGCAGCAGGACGGAAAGACCCCGUGACCUUUACUACAGCUUGGUAUUGGUGUUCGGUGUGGCUUGUGUAGGAUAGGUGGGAGACUUUGGAGCAUGGACGCCAGUUCAUGUGGAGUCAUUGUUGAAAUACCACUCUGGUCACUCUGGAUAUCUAACUUCGAACCGUGAUCCGGUUCAGGGACAGUGCCUGGUGGGUAGUUUAACUGGGGCGGUUGCCUCCCAAAAUGUAACGGAGGCGCCCAAAGGUUCCCUCAAUCUGGUUGGCAAUCAGAUGUCGAGUGUAAGUGCACAAGGGAGCUUGACUGCG
rnacentral:rRNA from 1 species